AUGUUAUCAAGAAAGGUAGAGGGAAUAGACCCGCUGAAGCCUUGGCAACCCUUUAACUUUAAAGAAGGUGCUAAAUUCUACUAAUAAUUUAAAAUUAUUGGAAAGAUAACGA
rnacentral:ncRNA from 1 species